CCUACGGAGGCAGCAGUGGGGAAUAUUGCACAAUGGGCGCAAGCCUGAUGCAGCCAUGCCGCGUGUGUGAAGAAGGCCUUCGGGUUGUAAAGCACUUUCAGCGGGGAGGAAGGCGGUGAGGUUAAUAACCUCAUCGAUUGACGCUACCCGCAGAAGAAGCACCGGCUAACUCCGUGCCAGCAGCCGCGGUAAUACGGAGGGUGCAAGCGUUAAUCGGAAUUACUGGGCGUAAAGCGCACGCAGGCGGUCUGUCAAGUCGGAUGUGAAAUCCCCGGGCUCAACCUGGGAACUGCAUUCGAAACUGGCAGGCUAGAGUCUUGUAGAGGGGGGUAGAAUUCCAGGUGUAGCGGUGAAAUGCGUAGAGAUCUGGAGGAAUACCGGUGGCGAAGGCGGCCCCCUGGACAAAGACUGACGCUCAGGUGCGAAAGCGUGGGGAGCAAACAGGAUUAGAUACCCGGGUAGUC
rnacentral:rRNA from 1 species